rnacentral:rRNA from 1 species
GUACAAUAAGCAAAAUAAGGGCGUAUGGGGGAUGCCUUGGCUCUCAGAGGCGAUGAAGGGCGUGAUAAGCUGCGAAAAGCUACGGGGAUCAGCACACAUGACUUGAUCCGUAGAUACCCGAAUGGGGCAACCCACUAUGUUGAAGACAUAGUACACCGAUAGGUGGGCAAACCCGCUGAACUGAAACAUCUAAGUAGGCGGAGGAGAAGAAAACAAAAGUGAUUCCGUAAGUAGUGGCGAGCGAACGCGGAUUAGCCCAAACCAAUGUUGUUACGGCAAUGUUGGGGUUGUAGGACCACGUUAUUUGUUGCGGAUAGAAUUAGAAUUUACUGGAAAGUAAAGCCAAAGAAGGUGAUAGCCCUGUAUAAGUAAUAGAAGAUAACGAUAGUGGUAUCCUGAGUAGGGCGGGACACGAGAAAUCCUGUCUGAAUUUGGCGGGACCAUCCGCUAAGGCUAAAUACUCCUGAGAGACCGAUAGUG